rnacentral:lncRNA from 1 species
GGUGCAGCGCCCAGGCGGCCCCGGAAUCCCACAGCUGAAUGGGAAAGAUUCAUGCCUGGCACAAGCCAAGGCACUCAACCGAUUGCUACUCUGAAAUGAAAGUCUCGGCCGGGCACGGUGGCUCACGCCUGUAAUCCUAGCACUUUGGAAGGCCGAGUUUCUUUCCUAGAUCCAGACACAUUGGGGAGGUAACGAGUCCUAUAGCCACACCUGCACGUUGGAUUAUAAAUGGCCAGGUUACUUGUCAGCUGCCCCUCCAGACAAGAGCAUUCUGCCAUGAUGGGAAGGUAGUCUAUCCACACCACAUGUGCCUAUUGAACAGGUGAUAUGUGACUGGUAUGUCUGGGGAACUAAUUCUUUGUUUAAUUUUAAUUCAUUUAAAUAGUCACAUAUGGCUAGUGGCUACCAUAUUGGACAGCAGAGUCUAGACUAUUAUCUCCAUGAGACUAGGAAUCAAGGCUGUUUUUUAUUUUUUGA